CGACUGGCGGCGCACAUAAGACAUGCAAGUCGAACGGAAGUCGUUAUAAAAAGGAUUGAAGAUUUAUCUGAUUGAGAUUUUAUAACAAUGGCUUUAGUGGCGGACUGGUGAGUAACGCGUGAGCAACCUGCCUACUAGAGGGGAAUAACAGUGAGAAAUCAUUGCUAAUACCGCAUAUGCCAUGAACAUCACAUGAUGAAAAUGGGAAAAGAGUAAUCUGCUAGUAGAUGGGCUCGCGUCUGAUUAGAUAGUUGGUGGGGUAACGGCCUACCAAGUCGACGAUCAGUAGCCGGACUGAGAGGUUGAACGGCCACAUUGGGACUGAGAUACGGCCCAGACUCCUACGGGAGGCAGCAGUCGGGAAUAUUGCGCAAUGGAGGAAACUCUGACGCAGUGACGCCGCGUAUAGGAAGAAGGUUUUCGGAUUGUAAACUAUUGUCGUUAGGGAAGAUACAAGACAGUACCUAAGGAGGAAGCUCCGGCUAACUACGUG
rnacentral:rRNA from 1 species